GGGCAUUUCAAUAUCGAUUUUUUAUCAUUCCCUCGUUCUUUCUGAUCCUCCCUUUGUUUUUUCUUGUUCCCCGUUCUUUCUAUUCUUUCUUUUGCUACUGUAUCCUUCCCUCGUUCUUCCUAUUCUUACUUUUUAUGUUUUCGCAUUUCCUCGUUCUUUCUACUUUCUUUUUCUAUUUAUUCGUUUCCUCAUUCAUUCUAUUCCUCCUUUUGUUUCUUUCUUGUUCUCUCGUACUUUCUAUUCUUUCAUUUUCCAUUUUCUCAUUCCCUCCUUCUUUCUAUUCCUUCUUUUUAUGUUUUCUCAUUCUCUUGUUCUUUCUAUUCUUUCAUUCUCUAUUUUCUCAUUCCAUGGUUCUUUCUAUUCCUUUUUUUUUGUUUUCUCGUUCCCUUGUUCUUUCUAUUCCUCCUUAUCAUGUAUUGACUUUCCCUUGUUCGUUCUAUUCUUUCAUUUUCUAUUUUCUCGUUCCCUCAUUCUUUCUCUUCAUUCUUUUCAUUCAUUCUCUAUUUUCUGGUUCCCCCGUUCUUUCUAUUCUUUCAUUUUCUAUUUUGUCGUUCCCUCGUUCUUUCUAUUCUUUCCUUAUGUUUUCUCAUUCCCUCGUUCUUUCUAUUGUUUCAUUUUCUAUUUUCUCGUUCCCUCGUUCUUUCUAUUCCUCUUUUUUAUGUUUUCUCUGCAUCUCAGGUAUGUACGUUAGUUGGCUGCACAUUGAAUAGAUAUGUCGUAACAAAGCUAGCUGAGGAUGAUCAUCCUUCUUACCAGAAGACACUGAAAACAGGUAAGCUGUGCACAGCACUCUGGUGGCCAUCCUUCUAAACGCUCAACACUGAAAAAUGGUAUGCUGCUAAUAGCACUCUGGUGCUCUGCUGCUUCCUGGUUCGCGCUUUGUAUCAUGCGGCGGUUUCUCUCUGCGGAGAAGUUUUGUCUACUCCUCACACUGUACACGGUGCUGCUAGCUUUUGCUACUGCCAAAAAUCACCAGGCACUCACGCUUUUCUUCUAAACCCUUUCUGCCAUACCAUAUUGCCCUGCUUCUUCUAUGUGUACCCUGCACUCUUUCAACUCUGCAUAGUGAAGAGCACUGUAGUGUAACCUAAGGUUAAAGUGAAAGCGUGCACAGCACACAGUACUUCUCACUUGCCACUGCACAUACCAAUGUCUUGUCUGCACUUAAGUUAUGUACGUUAGUAGGCUGCAUAUUGAAUAGGUAUGUUGUAACAAAGCUAGCUGACGAUGAUCAUCCUUCUUAGCACUUGAUACUGACAACCGGUAUGC
rnacentral:lncRNA from 12 species